CACACCGCCCGUCACACCAUGGAAGUCUGCUGCACCAGAAGUCGGUAGUCUAACCGCAAGGGGGGCGCCGACCACGGUGUGGCCGAUGACUGGGGUG
rnacentral:rRNA from 1 species